UACGGGGGGGGCAAGCGUUGUUCGGAAUUACUGGGCGUAAAGGGCUCGUAGGCGGCCAACUAAGUCAGACGUGAAAUCCCUCGGCUUAACCGGGGAACUGCGUCUGAUACUGGAUGGCUUGAAUCCGGGAGAGGGAUGCGGAAUUCCAGGUGUAGCGGUGAAAUGCGUAGAUAUCUGGAGGAACACCGGUGGCGAAGGCGGCAUCCUGGACCGGCAUUGACGCUGAGGCGCGAAGCCAGGGGAGCAAACGGG
rnacentral:rRNA from 1 species